UGCUCCAGAAGACAUUCAUUCUUUGGGACUAAUUGUUGAUUGUAAAGCUCUAUAAAUUAGAAGCACUUCCAAUGACUAUUUUCUUCUAAUUAUGCCAUUUUACCUCAUCAGAAAUAUUUAUUGCAGUAGUUGGUUUGGGUUUUUUGUUUUGUUUUGUUUUGUUUUUUUUGCCCUAUUUACUUUCACAAGCUUCUGUGGCCUAGUCUUUGAAUUAUCCAGUCAGCUGAGUUUAUACUGACCAUUUCACUGGCAUCACAGAGUUCCUUUAAAACAUUACUUGUGUUUAAGUGACACCUUGCAUUGUGAAUCCUGUAAUCCAUAAUAAUUAACCCUACAGUAAUUGAGAAGGUAUACUUUACAGAAUUCUCUCUCAUGAAUGAACUGUGGCACAUUGCAAUUAGAGUGCUUUGUCUGAGACAAAACAGCGGGCCUAGAAGCCAAACUCAAGAUGCUGAGGGAGAAACAAAAAUGUCAGUACACCAGAACCCUAUUAUAAUGAAGUUCUUAUCAUAUUAAUUUAGAUGUAUUACCUGCCUAUCUCUGUUCCUGGGAUGUAAGUGCAGGUAGGAAAGCGAAUAUAAAUAUAGAGCAUAACCCCCAAAGAGUGCAUGAUCUCUUCUUCCAAGUUAGCAUUAUAAAGAGAUUAGAAAAACUUGCCAGUGCAGGUAAAGUUCACAUUUUUGUCUUUAGGCUUCCGUCUUAUUAAAAGAACUCCAGUCACUGGGUGUAAGAGUAAACUGAAAGAGCCAUUUUGUAUGUUCAUAUACACUUCCAAGAAAUUGUGGCGAGAACCUAUUUUUCCACAUAAAUAUUAGCUGAAGCUCCAGAUUUUCAGUUUUGAAUCUUCUCUAAAAGUAGGUCUUGUUGUCAAAAACAUAUAGAAAACAAGCACAUAGGAGACAAAGACACUGGUUGUGCAGUCACUACAAAUGACUGGUAAUGUUAAAAGCAACUAUACAGACUGGGGGUAAAGUUCUGUGGUAGAGCUUAUGCAGCAUUCCUGAGGCCCCCAGUUCAAUCUCUAGCAUUGGGGGAGAACGGGAUGGGGAUCACAAAAUAAAGGAUUAGAACCUCUAAUUUUCUUUCAUACAGGUGAAAAUACUGUCAAGCCAAAAUCAGAUUUUCUUGCCUAAGUAAAAAUUAUCAAUUUAGGUGUUUCAUUCCUCAAAUGAUUAAAACUUCAGAAAGUCCCGACUGAUGACAUGGCAUACAGAAUAACUCUCAGAUAGGAAGACUGCAUUUUAAACAAACCUCUUGGAUACAGACGUGACUGGAGUACAGCUUCUACAAUAUACAGUUGUUGUGGUUGGACCUAAAGUGUCCUCCAAAGUCUCAUGUAUUCAGAGAGGUGGCUUUUGGAAAGUAACUGGAUUGUGGAGACGUUGUAAGCUGACUUGCUGUUAGAAGGUGAGGCCUAGCUGGAGACCUGGGUCCCUGGGCUUGUGACCUGCAAGUGUACAUUUCCCCUCCAGGCUCUGCUCUUUGCUCCCUGCUUCCUGGCCCCCAUGAUGCGAGCAGCUUUCCUCCGCCAGACCUUUCCAUCACACCCUUCCUGCCUUGAAGCAAGCCAAUUAUGAACUGAAACCUCUAAAACCUGCAGCUGAAAUAAACCGCUCCUCCUGUAA